rnacentral:rRNA from 1 species
AACGAACGCUGGCGGCAGGCUUAACACAUGCAAGUCGACCGCCCCGCAAGGGGAGCGGCAGACGGGUGAGUAACGCGUGGGAAUCUACCCAUCACUACGGAACAACUCCGGGAAACUGGAGCUAAUAUCGUAUAAGUCCUUCGUGAGAAAGGUUUGUCUGUGAUGGAGGAGCGCGCGUGGGAUUAGCUCGUUGGUGGGGGAAUGGCCCACCAAGGCGACGAUCGAUAGCUGGGCUGAGAGGAUGGUCAGGCACACUGGGAGUGAGACGCGGCCCAGACUCCUACGGAAGGCAGGAGUGGGGAAUAUUGGACAAUGGGCGGAAGCCUGAUCCAGCCAUGCCGCGUGAGUAAUGAAGGCCCUAGGGUUGUGGAGCUCUUUCACCGGUGAAGAUAAUGACGGUAACCGGAGAAGAAGCCCCGGCUAACUUCGUGCCAGCAGCCGCCGUAA